UGGGGAAUAUUGCACAAUGGGCGCAAGCCUGAUGCAGCCAUGCCGCGUGUAUGAAGAAGGCCUUCGGGUUGUAAAGUACUUUCAGCGGGGAGGAAGGGAGUAAAGUUAAUACCUUUGCUCAUUGACGUUACCCGCAGAAGAAGCACCGGCUAACUCCGUGCCAGCAGCCGCGGUAAUACGGAGGGUGCAAGCGUUAAUCGGAAUUACUGGGCGUAAAGCGCACGCAGGCGGUUUGUUAAGUCAGAUGUGAAAUCCCCGGGCUCAACCUGGGAACUGCAUUCGAAACUGGCAGGCUAGAGUCUUGUAGAGGGGGGUAGAAUUCCAGGUGUAGCGGUGAAAUGCGUAGAGAUCUGGAGGAAUACCGGUGGCGAAGGCGGCCCCCUGGACAAGGACUGACGCUCAGGUGCGAAAGCGUGGGGAGCAAACAGG
rnacentral:rRNA from 1 species